CUCACUUAUCCAACACUCGCUUAUCCAACGUUCUGGAUUAUCCAACGCAUUUUUGUAGUCAAUGUUUUCAAUAUAUCGUGAUAUUUUGGUGCUAAAUUCAUAAAUACAGUAAUUACUACAUAACAUUACUGCGUAUUGAACUACUUUUUCUGCCAAAUUUGUUGUCUAACAUGAUGUUUUGGUGUUUAAUUUGUAAAAUCAUAACCUAAUUUGAUGUUUAAUAGGCUUUUCCUUAAUGUCUCCUUAUUAUCCAACAUAUUCGCUUAUCCAACAUUCUGCCGGCCCGUUUAUGUUGGAUAAGUGAGACUCUACUGUGUUAGCAAUUAUACUGUUGUUUUAUGGACAUCCAUUCCCAUAUUUAGUGACGCUGAGCCACCAAAUUAUGGCAUGUGUAAACAUCCCAUACAAUCCUACUUGUUUAUCUUUUCUUGUUUACUUGUUUUCAGGAAACAAGAAAAAGACAAGGCCUGUAUUUGGUAUGCAGUUUCAAACUAGUCAGACCUAAAAAAAAAACCCAGAUAACCAACAGAAAUCGGCCACCGCUGUUCUCAAAAAUGCUGAAAAUGUCAAGCUCCUUCUUCUGCCAAAAACUGCCCAGAGAUUUCGGCAACCGAGUCUCUGAAGGCAUUGUGUCCAAGCGGCUUUCUGAUGCCAAAUUGGCAAAUUGCCUAUGGGAUCCCACUGGACUGUUCUGAUGCUUAGAACAAGAUGCUUAAAUCCUGGAAGUUAUUCGUGGAGGGCCUCUUUUCUUGCCUCUUUAACAAUGCUUUCCCAUUAAGGCAUUACAGAUGUGACUCUACUUCAUUGUUGUUGUGUGCCUCUUCAUCAUCUCCAGUCUAACAUAACACGGCUCUUUAAGCCACUCCUCAUAGGACUUUCCUUUCAGACCUUGAGCUGGGAAUGGUCUAUUCCAGGGGUCCCCAAACUAAGGCCCGGGGGCCGGAUGCGGCCCAUCGAAGCCAUUUAUCCGGCCCCCACGGCACAAGGGCAGAAGGGGG
rnacentral:lncRNA from 11 species